CCCCUUCUUAACAAAGAGCAAUUCUAUAUCUCUAUAGAAAAUUUUAUGUUAAAACUAGUAAUAAGAAGCUAGCCCUUCUCUUUAAUGCAAACUUACAUCAGCCAGGACACCCCACUGAUUAUUAACGUCCCUAAAACCAUUGUAAUAACUAAUCAAGAAAAUAUUACCUUCUCCUACGUUAACCUAACACAAGAGCAUUUUAAGAAAGAUUAAAAGAAAAAGAAGGAACUCGGCAAAUUUUAGCCUCGCCUGUUUACCAAAAACAUCGCCUCUUGAGUACUAAUAAGAGGUCAUGCCUGCCCAGUGACUCUGUUCAACGGCCGCGGUAUCCUAACCGUGCGAAGGUAGCGUAAUCACUUGUUCUUUAAAUGAGGACUAGUAUGAAUGGCCCCACGAAGGCUACACUGUCUCCUUUUUCUAAUCAAUGAAACUAAUCUUCUCGUGAAGAAGCGAGAAUAAUUUUAUAAGACGAGAAGACCCUAUGGAGCUUUAAACAACUGAAAUAUUUGCUUUAACUUUAUAUUCUUCCCGAGUUUUUCCUGCAUUCAAGCAUUUUAAUUUCUAGUUUUAGGUUGGGGUGACCACGGAGCAAAAUUUAACCUCCAUGACGAAUAAAGCAUUUUCCUUUAAACUAAAAGCUACUACUUUAAGCAUCAACAAAUUGACUUUCAUUGACCCAAUAUUUUGAUCAACGAACCAAGUUACCCUAGGGAUAACAGCGCAAUCUACUUCGAGAGCUCAUAUCGACAAGUAGGUUUACGACCUCGAUGUUGGAUCAGGGUAUCCCAGUGGUGCAGCCGCUACUAAAGGUUCGUUUGUUCAACGAUUAAAACC
rnacentral:rRNA from 1 species